UACGGGGGGGGCAAGCGUUGUUCGGAAUUACUGGGCGUAAAGGGCUCGUAGGUGGCCAACUAAGUCAGACGUGAAAUCCCUCGGCUUAACCGGGGAACUGCGUCUGAUACUGGAUGGCUUGAGUUCGGGAGAGGGAUGCAGAAUUCCAGGUGUAGCGGUGAAAUGCGUAGAUAUCUGGAGGAAUACCGGUGGCGAAGGCGGCAUCCUGGACCGAGAUUGACACUGAUGAGCGAAAGCCAGGGGAGCAAACGGG
rnacentral:rRNA from 1 species